GGGGAUUCAGCUCAGUGGUAGAGCGCUUGCCUAGCAAGCACAAGGUCCUGGGUUCGGUCCCCAGCUCCG
rnacentral:tRNA from 1 species